rnacentral:rRNA from 1 species
CCUACGGGAGGCAGCAGUGAGGAAUAUUGGUCAAUGGACGCAAGUCUGAACCAGCCAUUCCGCGUGCAGGAUGACGGCUCUAUGAGUUGUAAACUGCUUUUGUACGAGGGUAAACCCCGAUACGUGUCUCUGUUUGAAAGUAUCGUACGAAUAAGGAUCGGCUAACUCCGUGCCAGCCGCCGCGGUAAUACGGAGGAUUCGAGCGUUAUCCGGAUUUAUUGGGUUUAACGGGUGCGUAGGCGGUUUGAUAAGUUAGAGGUGAAAUGUCGGGGCUCAACCCCGGAACUGCCUCUAAUACUGUUGGACUAGAGAAUAGUUGCGGUAGGCGGAAUGUAUGGUGUAGCGGUGAAAUGCUUAGAGAUCAUACAGAACACCGAUUGCGAAGGCAGCUUACCAAACUAUAUCUGACGUUGAGGCACGAAAGCGUGGGUAGCAAACAGGAUUAGAUACCCUUGUAGUC